GGGGGGGGGGGGUGGUUUGUUAGAAAUCCCACCGCUGCCACCAUUGUGACGGUUCUAGGGAAUCGGGGAAUUGAGGGGGGUGGUUAAUAUGCUUCCACCAUUGUCCCAAAAUCAUCCCCAUCGCUACAUAAACUUUCUCCUGCUACCAUUAUAGCGAAUUCAAGUAAAACAGGUCUGGAAAGAAGACUACAUUCAUAACCACUUUUAUGUCAGUCUCUUAUACCCUUAAUUCUGACGGUUGCUGCCACCACCUAGUCUUAAUCUGGAGCGCUAGGAUCUCCAAAACAACACGGUUUGUGUGUUUACAUUCACUCUGUAAUCUGAUACACUCUCACUUACAUACACAGAUUCCUAAGAAACCGGACCAUGCGUCCUUCUACUAGUAUACGCUUUAAGUCAUUGUGACGUAUGGCAAUUGCUUCCUUUUGGGACGCACUGUCUCGUCCUUUCCCAAUCUGUCUCUCGUCACGUGCAAGACGCACUGUCUCACUCUGGGAAAAUCCUGUAUUGAUUUGGCCAUUUCCACUCAAAGUUAGCUUCUAGAGUCUCAAACCACUUCACAAUAUCUUCCAUCCUUUUAUAGAGAUCAUCCAGUCGACCACAUUGUGUACAGGGCUGCCUCAAGAUAGAGACCAUCUGUGUUCAUGUGGACUCGUCCUGCUCUGUGUUGAAGGGUUCUGACUUCACGGUAUAGUGUGUACAGCACAAACAGGAUGACUUGGAUGAAAUCUUUCACAGGGCUCCCUCAGCCUUAUGAAUGCCUCAGUCAUCAAUCCAGCCUGGAUUGCAUCAUUUAGAGUGGCUGGAUGAGAACGGAAAAUUCCAGCUCUAAUUUCCGAAUCAUCGAUAGAGUCUGAGAAGUGAGCUCUUGCAUCAGCCGUCAAUUCAGGAUAUGCACAGCCAGACAACUCCUGGAUAGCCCGACCAAAUUCCUACAGUGACUCCUUAGGAUGACGUUUCCUCAUUUCCAACUUAAAGAGAAAGUUUCGAGCCUGGUCACCUGAACCAAACCUGCCAUCAGGGUGGAACACGAGCUCCGUGUAAGUGAAGAUGAGUCCUUGUGGAAGAUUGUGCAACAUGUUUAACGCUAAUCCUUGUAAGCGAGUUGCCAAAUACUGUCCAGCCUCCGCAUCACUCCAGUUAUUGAGACGCAUACAGACAUCAAAGUGUCUUCUAUAUUCCGACCAGGGGAUUUUCCAGCAAACUUGCCCGGAAGUAUUUCCUUCUCCGAUUCGGUGUAAAGACACGUCUAUGUUCCUCAGGAAUGGCAUUUCCAUAAAAGCCAUGUCUAGUACGAUUUCUGGAUCCUGGACAUCCAUUUCCAAGCGUCUUGGUUCCUGUUGGACACUCUGUACCCGUUGGACAUCGUACGGACACAGCCAGCGUAAUUCCAGACACUCCGUCCAGUCCAUCAGGAACUUCACUUCUUGGAUCCAUUUUGUUUAAAAAUUUAUAUGCCAACCAAGAAUUUUUAAGUCACCAGUUAACCUCUUACAAUGUUGUUUUUGUACAAUUUAAUUUAAGUGUACUCUUAUUAUUAUUUGUACAUAUUAUACUCUAUUGAAAAAUUGCACUCAUAAGUUUAGAAGUUCAUGAUAUCGAUCUUGUCUGGUUUGCUCUAGUUUCUUAAUUACUGUACGUCUACUACAUCAUAAAAAUAACACUUGUUAUUUCCUCUAAGUGAUUAGCAUCAUUUACCACUAAAACAAGAACACAACUCAUCUUAGAAUUGCAGUUUAUUGCAAUUAAAAAUGCUUCUAAAUCCCACUGCUGCCACCAUUGUGACGGUUUUAGCGUGAAAUCGGGGAAGAGGGGG